rnacentral:snRNA from 1 species
UUACUUACCUGGACGGGGUCUAUGGGUGAUCAAUAAGGCUCAUGGCCUAGAUCAAUGGCUCACAUUGCACUCGGUGAGAGUAUUGAUCUACCAUCUCCCCUUUGUGGGAGAGUGGACGUCGUAAUUUGUGAUUGAGGGGGUACGCGUUCGCGCGGCCCCUGC